rnacentral:rRNA from 1 species
AGCGAACGCUGGCGGCAGGCCUAACACAUGCAAGUCGAGCGCCGUAGCAAUACGGAGCGGCAGACGGGAGAGUAACACGUGGGAACGUACCCUUUGGUUCGGAACAACCCAGGGAAACUUGGGCUAAUACCGGAUAAGCCCUUACGGGGAAAGAUUCAUCGCCGAAGGAUCGGCCCGCGUCUGAUUAGCUAGUUGGUGGGGUAAUGGCCCACCAAGGCGACGAUCAGUAGCUGGUCUGAGAGGAUGAUCAGCCUCACUGGGACUGAGACACGGCCCAGACUCCUACGGGAGGCAGCAGUGGGGAAUAUUGGACAAUGGGCGCAAGCCUGAUCCAGCCAUGCCGCGUGGGUGAUGAAGGCCUUAGGGUUGUAAAGCCCUUUCGGCGGGGAAGAUAAUGACGGUACCCGCAGAAGAAGCCCCGGCUAACUUCGUGCCAGCAGCCGCAGUAAGAC